GUGCCAGCCGCUGCGGUAAUACGUAGGGCGCAAGCGUUGUCCGGAAUUAUUGGGCGUAAAGAGCUCGUAGGCGGUUUGUCGCGUCUGCUGUGAAAGCCCGGGGCUCAACCCCGGGUCUGCAGUGGGUACGGGCAGACUAGAGUGCAGUAGGGGAGACUGGAAUUCCUGGUGUAGCGGUGAAAUGCGCAGAUAUCAGGAGGAACACCGAUGGCGAAGGCAGGUCUCUGGGCUGUACUGGACGCUGAGAGCGAAAGCAUGGGAGCGAACAGGAUUAGAUACCC
rnacentral:rRNA from 1 species